GGUGGCGGUGGAGGCGGCGGUGGAUGGGGCGUUCUCGGCUUAACCGAGAGUAGUGCGGCGGCCGGGAGCUUCUCUGAGGGCUGUCGGCGCUUGCAGCGGGUUCAGCCGCCUCGGGGGCCGUGGCCGCCGCGCCCCUGAGACUAUUUCUUACAUCUUGGUAUAUGAAGACGGUGCUGAUCUAUAAUCAGAGGCUGUAAAAAUCCUGGACAAAGCUGCUCUUCCUCUGCCAAAGUCUAGGUUCUGCAAGCCUUGAGUAUGGGAAGUUCUGCAUCAGCCCCAGAGGUCACUGCUUGUCUGACAGCUCCCAUCAUAUCAUUGCUGCUGAAGAUUUGAAGAUAUCAAUCACCUAUCUGGCCUUUAACUGGGAAAGAUACGAGGUCUUACUGGGAUACAGAAAUUCUCAAGAAGCCAGCUGUGGCACAGCAGUUAUGAACCAUUGCAUGUCUCUUAAUCACAAAUCCAUUUCACUACUAC